AAUCAACGCUGGCGGCGUGCCUAACACAUGCAAGUCGAACGCCCUAGCAAUAGGGAGUGGCGCACGGGUGCGUAACACGUGGGAAUGUACCCCAGGGUAAGGAAUAAUGUCUGGAAACGGACACUAAUACCUUAUAAUGACUUUGGUCCAAAGAUUUAUCGCCCUGGGAUCAGCCCGCGUCUGAUUAGCUAGUUGGUGAGGUAAUGGCUCACCAAGGCAACGAUCAGUAGCUGGUCUGAGAGGAUGAUCAGCCACACUGGAACUGAGACACGGUCCAGACUCCUACGGGAGGCAGCAGUGAGGAAUAUUGCACAAUGGAGGAAACUCUGAUGCAGCCAUGCCGCGUGAGUGAAGAAGGCCUUCGGGUUGUAAAGCUCUUUUCGUCGUGAAGAUAAUGACGGUGGCGACAGAAAAAGCCCCGGCUAAAUUCGUGCCAGCAGCCGCGGUAA
rnacentral:rRNA from 1 species